rnacentral:rRNA from 1 species
GACGAACGCUGGCGGCGUGCCUAAUACAUGCAAGUCGAGCGAGGGAGCUUGCUCCCUAGCGGCGGACGGGUGAGUAACGCGUGAACAAUCUGCCCUGUACAAAGGAAUAGCCUCGGGAAACCGGGAUUAAAACCAUAUAACACUUUAGUACCGCAUGGUACAGAAGUCAAAUUGAUUAGAGGUAUGGGAUGAGUUCGCGUCUGAUUAGCUAGUUGGUAAGGUAACGGCUUACCAAGGCGACGAUCAGUAGCCGGCCUGAGAGGGUGAACGGCCACACUGGAACUGAGACACGGUCCAGACUCCUACGGGAGGCAGCAGUGGGGAAUA